CGAAUUUAUUAUUAAGUUCAAGUGAUUCUUUGAAAUGACCAGUACUAUUGUCUAAGUUAUAUAUAUAUAUAUUCGAUAUUCGGUAAAUAUCGAAUAGCAAACAGUAUUAAUAUCUUGUACCAAAUCUAAUUUCAAAUAUCGAAAUAUUAAAAUUUUACUUCCAAAUAUCAUAUCAAAUACCAAAUAAUCGAAUAUCAAUUACCAAAUUUUUUGAUUGGAUUUGAUAAUUUGAUUUUUGGUAUUUCAUGCCAGCCCUACCUGGAAAUACUGGUUGCAUUUUGACAUAGCGGUAACUUUUCCUUCUUCUACCUCCUUCAGGGUUCAAGCAUCUGAUGAUUUAUACAGGGGAGGGCAUAGUUAUCAGCAACGCAUUUCUAUUCCGCCGCGAAUCCAGCAUAUCCAACUAAUAAUGGAGAUGAAAAAAAGUAAAGCAUUAGAUAAUAAUAUUUCUGAAGAGGCCAACAUAUCCCAGCAUUCAAAAUUGAGGGACCCCCUUGAUUGCUUGAUUUCUUUUUACUCUCUCUUGCCUCGUGAUUAUGAGUUUUAUAAGGGCACUAUGAUCCGGUUAUGAGUCGCACAAGGUUUUGUUGAUCCCAAGUGGAAAUGUGAACUCAAGGUUGUGGUGAAUCGACAUUUUGAGCACAUGUGUUAGAAGAAUUUUAUUGUGCAAUCUAGAUUUGACAUGGGCAUAGGAAGGAUGAAGUAUAAGGUUGGUAAUGUUGUUUCCACAAGCUUAUAUUUGCUGUAAAGGAAGCCGAAUUGAGUAGUAUUGAUAGAGAGGUCCAACAUCUGAUGAAGCUACCUUUAAUAUUCUAAAAAGUUUUAAACAAUUGCGCACUCUUUAUUCUUUUGGCAUCACGGUGAAUCGAUCAAUCGUAUACCUUAUGAUUUUUUCCUUUAGCUAUAAUAUUUGAGGACUUUAGAUUUGCAUUCAACUAAUAUAUAUGAGUUGCCUGA